AUUAGUAAAGUCAAAGGCGAUUAUACAUACACGCUUUAACGUCGUUCCGUUAAAAGAAACGAGAUUAAUAGGAAUUACAAAAUAAAUUCUUGUCACGAUUACCUUUUAACAAUAAGUAUCUGUGCACAUUUCUGAUUCAAAACAGCAAAAUCUAAACACAUUCGAAUAAAAUCGUCAAGUAAAAGAGGUAACAAGGAAAAUCUAGAGUUAAACGAGUUAUACGAACAAAAAAUCAGCAGAUUUCAGGUUAACCACGAUUAAACAAUUGACCAUAAUUGCUCUAGAGUGUUGCAAUAUACUCGCCGGAAAGCACAGUAAUCAAAUAAAUUUAUAAAUAAUAUUCUCAAAAUAAAUUUGUUGGAAAAAAAGAAAGUCACAAGCAGGACGGAGGUGCCGAUCCCUCCAGACAAAUGGAUUCCGAUCCAACUGGACUGCCGACAAAUUAUAAAUGCCAUCUCUGUGGAAAGACAUUCUAUUUUAAAGGCAUUUUUGAAAAUCAUUUAUUGUCCCACGGCAUCAGACCGGAGCAUGAUAUGCCAGAGGAACGUUCCGACCCCUCCAGGCAAAUGGCUUCCGGUUCAACUGGAGAUAAUAUGCAAGGCGAAGGUGUCGGUUCUUCUAGACAAAGAGAUUCCAAUCCAACUGGACAGCCGGAAACGUAUACAUGCGAUUUCUGUGCACAGACAUUCGAUUCUUCGGAAAUCCUUUGCAAUCAUUUAUAUUACCACAGCUUAGAGAAUCAUCCUUGCUACGCUUGCGAAUUGAAAUUUAUUUCUUACUCAUUAUUGCGUAAACAUUACAUUCGGGUACAUU